AUGAAGGUGGUUUUAAGAUCUCAUUUGAAACAUUCAGUUUAGCUUAAUGAAUUUAUUUAUUAUAUGAUGACUAUUGAAAUUUUUGAAGACAGACCCAGAGAAGGCACAGGCAUUCAAAGAAUGUAGGGAAGAAAUAGAAUCUAAACAGGGAUGAAACUUCUCUAAGAUUACGCAUAAGGAAAUCUGAUUCACAAGAGAGAAACACAACUUUAUUUUCAGCCAAGGUCUUACAGUAUAGUUAAGACUGUCCUUGAACUCCCUAUGAGUUCUAGGCAGGCCUUGAAUUUACAGUAGUCCUUCUGCCUCAGCCUCCUAAGUGCUGGAAUUACAGGUGUGUGCUACCAUACCUAUUCAAGAAACACAUUUUUGUAAGGAGUUCAAAUUUGAGGCACCCACAGUUUUCUCCAUUUGGUGAUCCUCCAGGUGAGGAGCUAAAAGGCUGUGAAAUGUCCAUAUAUAAAACAGAAUGAAGAAGAAUGACUAACUCCAGAAAUCUUAAGAAACAUUUGGAAAAGCAGCUCUGUAUGAUUCGUGAUGAGAGAGUAGGCAAGGGACACCAACUGAAACACAGCUGUGACUUGAUAAACAAGUGGAAUAUUCUUUGGUACAGAGACAGGAAAUAAUUCUCUCCGGGGCCAUGUACCUCAGUAGCUGAGGGGACAGCAGAGCGAAUUGCUGAAUCAGAGCUGCAAGUGAAGGACAACUGGCUGGACAAUAGGGUGGCUGUGCUGCUGCUGUCAGUGGGUGUGGGCUGAGAGUGGGAAAGAGGGGAAGUCGAAGAAAGGAGGGGAGCUGACAUCUGAGGCCAACAGGAGGAGCCCAGAAAAGACCUGGGUGGAAGCGGCUGUGGGCGAGGUGCGGCUGAGCGGUGGCUGCUGUCAAUUCUGACCCAUUUCCUGGAGCCCUGGGAACUGCGCUCUCAGCAAUAGUGACACUGCCCUUCAGGCAGCCAAGCCACACAGAGUGAUAGCUGUCCCUGCUGUUUUCCUAAAUGUCACCAGUGAAAGAAGCCUUUCCAUCUCCCCAGAGUGCUGCACUUGUGGUUCCAUACAGAAUCGCAUCCACAAGUGCAAAUUUCUGGAAGAGAGAAGGAAGAAAAGAACAAAUACAGGCCAUGCCUGGUUUACGUGGCUGGCAUAAGUUAAAAUUCGUAAACUCCACUGCAAAAGCAAUAAAGUGUCUACGUAUUUUGGAAGUACUUCCUAUUUCGAAUCCCUUCCGGCUGUCAGGAACUUCUUCUCCAGCCAGGAGGGGAUUCUGCUUCCAUUUUCCCUGACCUCUAGGUUCUCGGAAGAGGAUGCUGAUGGAUUGCUGGGCAGUGUGGUAUUGUCAAUGGCUGGAGCACAGGGAGGCUGUGCCACCUGGUCCUCAGCGUUUCCUGAGUCCUAUCCUCGCUUGGAAGUAAAAUGGGAGAAGUUGCUGAGUCCUUACUCUCCUAAGGGUGCUGUUGCCCCUCCUGCCUCCGCACUGGACUCUUCUUGCUACUCUUGGUCAUUUUGCUCCUCUUGGAUCAUAAGGCUACAUGAAGCAUUCUGAGUUGGGUUGAACUUUAAGCUCCUGCCUGGUCUUCUGGGGGACCCUGUGGGUUUUCUCUCAGUGUGCUGGGCUAGGGGACACUGGUGAUACUUUUGCCACUUCUGGGAUUCACUCAGGUCCUAUCUCAGAUUUUUCCCUUAUCCUGACCAGACCCUGGGUAUUUGAUAUAGUAUUCUCUACUUGCAAAGGAGGGAAAUGCAGUUCACAGAAACCAAAUAUGCCUAAAGUCACAUUAGUAUAAGCAAUUAGCCUGUCACCUUGCAAUCCGCACGGAUCCCUCCUCAUAAGGACUACUUGUGCCACUUUGUUAUCUGCUUCCAGGAAGCCUCUUGUGAUCACCCAGGAACGGCAUCUGCUCCCUAAGUAUUUUGUAGCAGCUGCUGCUAUUUAACCAUCGCACACUGAUGGUUACUGGUGCACGCCUCCAGAGACUUCUGAUUAGGCUUUGUCUCCUAGAAGGCAAAGGCUACUUGUGUUUCUCUGUCUCCAAUGCACUUGCACCACUCUCAGUCCAUGGUGUUAGUAUAUGAUUGGUUAUCACAAAAACAAAACAACGUGUUGAUACAUUGGUAAAUGAAUGAGCAUUUAUUUCCUGUAACUAUGUGUCCCCUUCAUUUGGUUAUGCUGUGAUUGUGGGCUAGGUCUCCUUUUAGCUGUACUGGUCUCAGUCCACUCAGUACCUCAGGUAGCAGACAGGUCCAGUGGGGUCAGGUCUGUUUUCUUACUCUCCCUACAAAAUCUGUUGUCUCCCGCUGCCAACUUGAUGAUUGGCAAUUCUGUGACUCUGUGCCUAGGACCUAGGACAGUCACCUCUGCCCCUUUCUCUGUUAAGUCUUUAGGACGCUUCCUUUACUCAUUGACUCUGACACCAUCACUGCCCUGCUGUGAGGUGGAAUGUCCACUCUGUGUGUGCCCUUGAUUGUCACAGCCCCUGAGACCCUGAACAGGACUAGUGCCACACUGGGCCAGCAGUAUCAUCACCAUUGGAGGAGCCCUUGCUGCCACUGCACUGCGGGCAGGAUUUUUACGGUGCGGCCUCGGAAGUCCCUUUGGGUGUCUCUGGAAAUAACUCAUUCGGUGGCAGAAGAAUAGAAAUGCUUAAUUUAAACUUUAAAAUACAGGCUGGGGUUUAUCUCAGUGGGGUAAGCGCCUGCCUGGCAAGCACAAAGUUGUUCAGUUCAAUCCUCGGUACCAAAAAAAAAAAAAUUUAAAAUAUCAAUUUAAGUUAAAAUCCAUAGUAAAUAGGGAAUGGGGGGGGGAGAUAAUUUUUAAAAAAUGUUUUCUAUGAUAAUGUUUAAUUCCCAAUGACAAUUCCCACAUAGUUGUCAAGUUUAUUGGUUGCAACUGAUAGAAACACAAUUCAAAUUAAUUUAAACACAACUAAUUUUCUUAUAAAACUGAAGUCUAGUGUAUCAGGCCCAGGCGGAUCCAGUGAUAUCUAUUUUUUUCUUAAUCUAAUUACUAUUUCCUUUUAAUUUGGACCUUGACAACUCUUAGCUUAGAUACUUUUUUUUUGGAAAAAAAAUUUAAUAAUAUUUAAUAAUUAUUAUUUUUAAUAAAAAUAAAAAUUAUUUUUAAUAAUAAUUUUUAAAUAUACAAGUUCACUUAAUUUCUUAUAAUGUAUUUAAUACUUUAAAUAUCCUGAAUUAACAACUAUACCAACAUACUUUAUCCCCAGUGUUUCCGUAGAAGACAUUAAAAUAAAGCUAAAUUAUAUAAAUUUUUUCUUCAAAGUAGUCCAAAGUCUCAGUUCUUUUGGUACAAAAAUACUACAAAAGCAUGCCAGUGGAAAUGGUGAAAUGGCAUGCUAAUAUUUCAGGGCACAUUUAUAACUGUCAGCAAUUCUUGAAGUUAUUCCAAAAUAUUACUAUCAAUCACUUUUAGAUCAGUUCUGUACAACUACUCACAUGGAUAGCAUUUUCUUAGACCUCUGAAGAUAAACAGACUCACUGGUCUCUUUUGCUGUCCACACAGUAGGCAAGGCAAGUUUGUUGUAGGGUUUAAGUGGAACCAGGCAUCUACAGUCUCUUGACUCUACCAUAUUCAAAACAGAAAAGUUCACUUAGCUACCCUGAAGUCACUCCUAGAAACCUACUAUGGCUCAUUGGAUCUAAAUAUUUUUCAGAAAUGUCAUUUUAUAAUUUCACCUAAGUGAUGAUUUGGGGAUCCUUUAGAAAUAGUUAAUACCUAGGAUAAUAAACACCAAAA